AUUGAACGCUGGCGGCAUGCCUUACACAUGCAAGUCGAACGGUAACGGGCCUUCGGGUGCCGACGAGUGGCGCACGGGUGAGUAAUACAUCGGAACGUGCCCGAUCGUGGGGGAUAACGAGGCGAAAGCUUUGCUAAUACCGCAUACGAUCUACGGAUGAAAGCAGGGGACCGCAAGGCCUUGCGCGGACGGAGCGGCCGAUGGCAGAUUAGGUAGUUGGUGGGAUAAAAGCUUACCAAGCCGACGAUCUGUAGCUGGUCUGAGAGGAUGAUCAGCCACAUGGGGGGUGGAAAACGGCCCAGGCCCCGAGGGGGGGCCGAGGGGGGAAAGUUUGGAAAAAGGGGGAAAGCUUGAUCCAGCCAUGCGGGGGGGAGGAAGAGGCCCUGCGGGUUGGAACCUGUUUUUGGAGGGAAAAAAAAGCUUUGUUUUAAAACAGGGGGGUCAGGCGGGAACCUAAAAAAAAAGCACGGGCAAAUAAGGG
rnacentral:rRNA from 1 species